CCUAUCUCUAGAAGCACUGCAGGCUCGGCUGCUGUGUCACAGGGACGUCAGUAGGUGGCAGAGAGGAGAGAAGCUAUAUCCAUACUCAGUGUUCGGACCCGUGAACAUCUGAAUGAUUAGAAGCCUACACACC
ensembl:snoRNA LOC120101318 small nucleolar RNA SNORA17